rnacentral:lncRNA from 1 species
GUCAAAAUUUUACGGAAACUUGUGUGAUAUCCAGUAAUGGCUAACAAAUAGCGAUGUAAUAUUUUUCACGUGAAUAUAAACAUUUUCGUGCGGUUUUGUAAACUGUUAUAAUAAAUGUUGACGAUUAUUUCGAGAGAAGAUACAGUGUGUGGAAGACAUCGUUUUUGAACCGAUAUAUAGAAACGAACCGAUAGUUAAUUGUUUUACUUUUGUAUCUUUCAACUCACUUGGGAAUUGGUGUUAAAGUUAUACAAUAAUUGAUGAGAACCAAUUAGUACAUUCUUCAAAUUUUUAACUGACAUAAUUGCAUCAAUUUCCACUUUGCCCCAUAAAUGAAAUAUAUUAGUCACCUUUCAAUGUAAGCAAGCCCCCCCCUUUCCCAUGCAAUUAAAUGUAGUCGGUAAAUUUGUUUAAAACAUACUUUUCCGUUCCGUUGAUAUUUUCAUUUCGAGUUUUAAUUAAACAUGAAUGCAUGUCCAAACCAGUCAUAUCAUUGAGUACAACAGACGCAUAUAAUAAAAAC